rnacentral:rRNA from 1 species
UACGGGGGGGGCAAGCGUUGUUCGGAAUUACUGGGCGUAAAGGGCUCGUAGGCGGCCAACUAAGUCAGACGUGAAAUCCCCAGGCUCAACCUGGGAACUGCGUCUGAUACUGGAUGGCUUGAAUUCGGGAGAGGGAUGCAGAAUUCCAGGUGUAGCGGUGAAAUGCGUAGAUAUCUGGAGGAACACCGGUGGCGAAGGCGGCAUCCUGGACCAAUUCUGACGCUGAGGAGCGAAAGCCAGGGGAGCAAACGGG